rnacentral:rRNA from 1 species
GACGAACGCUGGCGGCGUGCUUAACACAUGCAAGUCGAACGGAAAGACCCUGCUUUUGUGGGGUGCUCGAGUGGCGAACGGGUGAGUAACACGUGAGUAACCUGCCCUUGACUUUGAGAUAACUUCAGGAAACUGGGGCUAAUACCGGAUAGGAGCUCCUGCUGCAUGGUGGGGGUUGGAAAGUUUCGGCGGUUGGGGAUGGACUCGCGGCUUAUCAGCUUGUUGGUGGGGUAGUGGCUUACCAAGGCUUUGACGGGUAGCCGGCCUGAGAGGGUGACCGGCCACAUUGGGACUGAGAUACGGCCCAGACUCCUACGGGAGGCAGCAGUGGGGAAUAUUGCACAAUGGGCGGAAGCCUGAUGCAGCAACGCCGCGUGCGGGAUGACGGCCUUCGGGUUGUAAACCGCUUUCGCCUGUGACGAAGCGUGAGUGACGGUAAUGGGUAAAGAAGCACCGGCUAACUACGUG